CCCGGCGAUUAUGGCGUGGGGGCAACACCCGUUCCCAUUCCGAACACGGCAGUUAAGCCCCACAGCGUCGAUGGUACUACGCGGCGACCCGUGUGGGAGAGUAGAACAUCGCCGGGU
rnacentral:rRNA from 1 species